UACGGAGGGUGCAAGCGUUGUCCGGAUUUAUUGGGUUUAAAGGGUGCGUAGGCGGCUUGAUAAGUCCGUGGUGAAAGCCAACAGCUCAACUGUUGAACUGCCAUGGAUACUGUCAGGCUUGAGUACAGACGAGGUAGGCGGAAUGGAUAGUGUAGCGGUGAAAUGCAUAGAUACUAUCCAGAACACCGAUUGCGAAGGCAGCUUACUAGACUGUAACUGACGCUGAGGCACGAAAGCGUGGGGGAGCGAACAGG
rnacentral:rRNA from 1 species